CCUACGGGAGGCAGCAGUGAGGAAUAUUGGUCAAUGGGCGUAAGCCUGAACCAGCCAAGUCGCGUGAGGGAUGAAGGUUCUAUGGAUCGUAAACCUCUUUUAUAAGGGAAUAAAGUGCGGGACGUGUCCCGUUUUGUAUGUACCUUAUGAAUAAGGAUCGGCUAACUCCGUGCCAGCAGCCGCGGUAAUACGGAGGAUCCGAGCGUUAUCCGGAUUUAUUGGGUUUAAAGGGUGCGUAGGCGGCCUUUUAAGUCAGCGGUGAAAGUCUGUGGCGCAACCAUAGAAUUGCCGUUGAAACUGGGAGGCUUGAGUAUGUUUGAGGCAGGCGGAAUGCGUGUUGUAGCGGUGAAAUGCUUAGAUAUCACGCAGAACCCCGAUUGCGAAGGCAGCCUGCCAAGCCAUGACUGACGCUGAUGCACGAAAGCGUGGGGAGCAAACAGGAUUAGAUACCCCAGUAGUC
rnacentral:rRNA from 1 species